rnacentral:hammerhead_ribozyme from 1 species
AUCCAGCUGACCACGAGUCCCAAAUAGGACGAAAUGCGCAUCCUGGAU